rnacentral:tRNA from 1 species
GCGAGUGUAGCUCAGUUGGUAGAGCCCCGGAUUGUGAUUCCGGUUGUCGCGGGUUCGAGCCCCGUCUCUCGCCCCA